rnacentral:ribozyme from 1 species
CCUGGUUCUACGGUCUUCUUAUCAUGAAAUCAUGGUGGGGUCUGGUGAUUUAUAAUGUGAUUGCCUUUGGAAUGACAUACAUCCAGAUUUCACUUCAGACUGUGAAGUUUGUACGAGCUCUUUUUCAGGUAAAGAACUUGAGC